rnacentral:rRNA from 1 species
GACGAACGCUGGCGGCGUGCCUAAUACAUGCAAGUCGAACGCACUCUCGUUUAGAUUGAAGGAGCUUGCUCCUGAUUGAUAAACAUUUGAGUGAGUGGCGGACGGGUGAGUAACACGUGGGUAACCUGCCCUAAAGUGGGGGAUAACAUUUGGAAACAGAUGCUAAUACCGCAUAAAAACCUAAACACCGCAUGGUGUAGGGUUGAAAGAUGGUUUCGGCUAGCACUUUAGGAUGGACCCGCGGUGCAUUAGUUAGUUGGUGAGGUAAAGGCUCAACCAAGACCGUGAUGCAUAGCCGACCUGAGAGGGUAAUCGGCCACACUGGGACUGAGACACGGCCCAGACUCCUACGGGAGGCAGCAGUAGGGAAUCUUCCACAAUGGACGAAAGUACUGAUGGAGCAACGCCGCGUGAGUGAAGAAGGUUUCGGAUCGUAAAACUCUGUUGUUGGAGAAGAAU